rnacentral:rRNA from 1 species
AGUAUUAAGGUCCUGCCUGCCCAGUGAAACAUUUUUAACGGCCGCGGUAUUCUAACCGUGCAAAGGUAGCGUAAUCAUUUGUCUUCUAAAUAAAGACCAGUAUGAAUGGCUAAAUGAGGACAGACCUGUCUCCUGCAACCUAUCAGUGAAACUGAUCUCCCAGUCCAAAAGCUGGGAUAUACACAUAAGACGAGAAGACCCUGUGGAGCUUAAAACCCACCACUAAUAAACUAUUAAACGCAAUUAGUAUAAAGUUUUAAGUUGGGGCGACUUCGGAACAAAACAAAACUUCCGAGCACAGAAUCACCAAUUCUAACCAAGGCAAACAAGCCAAAGAUAAGAUUGACCCAGUCAUACUGAUCAACGAACCAAGUUACCCCAGGGAUAACAGCGCUAUCUUCUUCAAGAGUCCAUAUCGACAAGAAGGUUUACGACCUCGAUGUUGGAUCAGGGCACCCCAGUGGUGCAGCCGCUAUUAAAGGUUCGUUUGUUCAACGAUUAACAGCC